UUUUCUAAUCUGUACAUCAAAGAACCGAGCGGCAUAUGAUAUGACGAAGAUGGUGAUAGUUUGAUAUUUUAAGAAGUCUGAAGUGCACGAAAAAAUGGAAACAGCGUCUGAAGAUCAAAGGGGAAAACGACACCCAAACAGACACAUCACAAACAGAAGUAACAAAAACAGAAGAGCAGACUCAGGACAGCACAGAAACCACAACAACUCAGUACAAAGUCCCCACCAAAGAGAUAUAUGAGCCUCAAGAUCUAAAAAAGUGGGAGGAAUCAGAGGCUUACAGAGACUUGGUAGGAUUCAUCACAGCCAUCAACGAUGCUGUCAAAGGGAAGAAAAUAUCAGAUUCCUAUCCUGUCUCACAGACUAUAGAAAAUUUGGUAGCUAUGUUGGACAAAAUGUCAAAUUGGAUUGACGAAAUUCCUCCAAUAGAUCAGCCCCAGAGAUUUGGAAACAAAGCUUUUAGGGAUUAUUUUAAAAGAGUGAAAGAGAAUGCAGAAGCUCUGGUUAGAAAAGUUGUUGGAGACAAGUUUGAGGCCUGUAUUCCAGAAAUCUCCACGUAUCUAGUCGAGUCUAUAGGAAAUGACACAAGAAUAGACUACGGCUCAGGUAAGAAAUAGACCUUAUAGAUGGAAUAGGAAAUGUAUGUUAUGUUUCACAGGGUUGUCAGAAUUUCCAUUCAGGUAUUCAUUCUUUAUUGGUACAUGAACUUGUAUAUUAAAUUUUGAUUAGAGUUUAUGAAACAUAUGUACUGAUAUUUCCUUUUAAAUGCACUUGACAACACUUACAAUGUGUAUGAUGGAGUCGCAUAUCACCUUAUGAUUUCACAUACACUGCAUGUACUUAUGUGAAAAUCUCUCUUGAUUGUAACAAUGAAUAGUUCUCUUAAUGUUUCUGUUGAUUUUAAAACCAAAAAGCAAUUACCGGUAUGUAUACAUAUGACUAUACUGAUCUGUAAAAGCAAAGGUUAAUUAGAAUAUCCUUAGUUAAAUCAGGGAAAUAUCAUUUGAAGUAUUGCAAUGAUCCUUAUUGUGUACAUAUAUACAAUUGAACUCUGGUAAUUUAAACAGUGAUACAUGUACAGUCAAAUUUCGUUAUCUCGAACUAGAUGGGACUGUUAAAAAACUUCGGAAUAUCCAUGUAUUCGAGAUAUCGUGGGUAAAAUACUUAAAAAAAUAAUUAAGUAGUUGGGACGUACAAAUCACUUAGACAUAUCCAUUGUAUUUUCGAGAUAUCAGUGUUCGAGAUAUCGAAGUUCAACUGUAUUACAAUUGCAAUGGAUUUGUUGAAGUGUUUUGAAGUCCCAACCACUUACUGGUACUCUAUAAGACUUAGUUAGCAUUGAUACCUCAUUAUAAAUAAUCCUCUCAGCAAGUUUUUUUUUUGUUCUCAUAAUGUACAUGUAUUUGACUGUAUUUAAGUUUACAUGCUGGUUUUUCAGGCCACGAGUUAGCAUUUGCUGCCUUUCUAUGCUGUUUGUUUAAAGUGGAAGCUCUGACAGAGCAGGAUGCCCCUGCUGCAGCACUGAAGGUCUUUGAAAGGUACCUGCAUUUUGUCAGGAAGUUACAGACUGUGUACAGAAUGGAGCCGGCCGGCAGCCAUGGAGUCUGGAGCCUGGAUGACUUCCAGUUCCUCCCCUUUAUGUGGGGCAGCUCUCAACUUAUAGGUCAUAAAAGGAUACUUCCAAAGUCUUUUGUAAAUCCUGACAUUUACGAACACUUUGCGAAAGACUACAUGUUUCUAGGAUGUAUAAAAUAUAUCAACCAGGUCAAAACUGGCCCUUUUGCUGAGCACUCAAAUCAACUGUGGAACAUCAGUGGUGUACCACACUGGGAGAAGGUGAAUUCAGGCUUCAUCAAGAUGUAUAAAGCAGAGGUGCUUGGUAAAUGUCCAGUAGUUCAGCAUUUCCUGUUCGGCAGUUUAUUGUCCAUCCAGCCAGCCACUGGUACGUGAUGGACAUGUAAGGACUGAAUUUCUACUGGAUAUAUAACUAUGUGUGUAUUUAUAGUGCUUGAAAAACAGACAGCAGUUUUUAAUCUGUAGUUGGACUCAAUCAAAUGACAACAAUGAUAUGCCCAGACGAACAAGAACGUUCCCUUAAUUCUAUCUAAAAAUUAUGAUUCUAAUUUGAUUUAGCAAGCACCGGCCUGCACAAAUGCAAUAGUGGUCAAGCAUAUGAGGCAUUACAAAUGUCAUGACAUUGUGACAUCAUGUGCAAUAUCCUCUGUUUAAUAUGUUAUGUAUUUAAUUGAACAUGAGUUUGAAGUCUUACAAAUUCAAUACGUAUAUGAUUCAAGAUGUAAUUGUAUGAAUACACAUGACAAUGUUUUUGAUAUUGAAAAAUUUGUACUUAAUAUAAUGUAUGCUUAUAAAUAAAUAUAUUGCUCAUAAUUGG
rnacentral:misc_RNA from 1 species